UACAGAGGGGGCAAGCGUUGUUCGGAAUUACUGGGCGUAAAGGGCGCGUAAGCGGCCUUCUAAGUCGAACGUGAAAUCCCUGGGCUCAACCCAGGAACUGCGUCCGAUACUGGAAGGCUUGAAUCCGGGAGAGGGAUGCGGAAUUCCAGGUGUAGCGGUGAAAUGCGUAGAUAUCAAGUGGAACACCAGUGGCGAAGGCGAGUCCCUGGACAACUCCUGACACUGAGGCACGAAAGCUAGGGGAGCAAACAGG
rnacentral:rRNA from 1 species